rnacentral:rRNA from 1 species
UGCGCAGCGUAGGCGGGAGGCGUCGAAGCCCGCCCUCCGGGGGCGGGUGGAGCCGUCCAUGAGACACCGCCCACCCUCUGCCGUAUGGCUAACCUCCGAUGGGGGGGACAGCGGUAGGUGGGCAGUUUGGCUGGGGCGGCACACCCUCGAAAAGGUAUCGAGGGUGCCCUAAGGUCGGCUCAGGCGGGUCAGGAAUCCGCCGUAGAGUGCAAGGGCAAAAGCCGGCCUGACUGGACCCGUAACAGAGGCGGGUCCAGCCGCGAAAGCGUGGCCUAGCGAACCCCUGAGCCUCCCCGGUGGGGGCCAGGGAUGACAGAAAAGCUACCCUGGGGAUAACAGAGUCGUCUCGGGCGAGAGCCCAUAUCGACCCCGAGGCUUGCUACCUCGCUGUCGGCUCUUCCCAUCCUGGUCCUGCAGCAGGGGCCAAGGGUGGGGGUGUUCACCCAUUAAAGGGGAACGUGAGCUGGGUUUAGACCGUCGUGAGACAGGUCGGAUGCUAUCUACCGGAGGUGCUGGGUGCCUGAGGGGAAGGCUCCCCCAGUACGAGAGGAACAGGGAGCCGCGGCCUCUGGUCUACCGGUUGUCCUACAGGGCACAGCCGGGCAGCUACGCCGCGUCCGAUAAGGCCUGAAAGCAUCUAAGGCCGAAGCGGUCCCCGAAAAUAGGCACCCACUCCCAGGCGCAGGGGGUCGGGCGACCGGUCCUUUGCCUGGGACGAGGGCUCGGGAAGAAGACCCGUUUGAUGGGGCGGGGAUGUAAGC